rnacentral:misc_RNA from 1 species
UCUUGCAAAUGAUUUAUUCCAAAGAAAGCCUUUAUAUAUAGAGGAAAGAAAAUGGCAUGAGAUAUGAUACACACAAAAUCUAAAGUGAAAUGAUCACAAUACGAAUUCACAACCAUUGUAAUAUCCUGCAAGUAAGAUCUAAACAUCACAUGCCAACCAAAGUACACUUACAAGGUUUAGAAGUUGACAUACAGAUUAAAGACCAGAAAAACCAAAAUCUACUUCAUAACGGAUAAUAGGUUUGGUCAUAACCUGAUUAAGGAAUCAUUUUUUAUUAGACCCAUCCUAUUAUGAUCAUAAACUAUAUCAGGAGGUUCUAUAACUUGGACACUAUUAAGUCAAUUACAGCCAGGGCAUGGGGGAAAAAUGGACUGAUACUCUCAGCCAUUAUGUCAACUGUAAGGUGCUGAGCAACAACAACAACUAAGCCUUAAUUCAAACUGGUUGGGACGCAAACUAUGCUAUAUUCAUGUACAAAGACUUGUUGUUACCAGCGAAGACAAGCAGUUCAGGUCAAAUAAAACCACAUUUUAGAUUAAAGAACCCAGGGACAGAGAACACCGAAGCUCAGCAACCCAAGAAAUCAAUAAAAUAGAUAAACGAAUGGACAUAAAUGCAUAAGUAAAUGAAAAUGGAGAGUUUAUACACACUGUCAGGUCCACCCAGCUGGGUGACAGCAUCGACGAAUCUCUCAUGAAGCUCAGCAGUCCACCGGAGGCGGGGCUUCGGA